AUGCAGUCGAGCGGAUGAGKGGAGCUUGCUCCMKGAUUCAGCGGCGGACGGGUGAGUAAUGCCUAGGAAUCUGCCUGRUAGUGGGGGACAACGUUUCGAAAGGAACGCUAAUACCGCAUACGUCCUACGGGAGAAAGCAGGGGACCUUCGGGCCUUGCGCUAUCAGAUGAGCCUAGGUCGGAUUAGCUGGUUGGUGAGGUAAUGGCUCACCAAGGCGACGAUCCGUAACUGGUCUGAGAGGAUGAUCAGUCACACUGGAACUGAGACACGGUCCAGACUCCUACGGGAGGCAGCAGUGGGGAAUAUUGGACAAUGGGCGAAAGCCUGAUCCAGCCAUGCCGCGUGUGUGAAGAAGGUCUUCGGAUUGUAAAGCACUUUAAGUUGGGAGGAAGGGCRKUAASCUAAUACCUUGSUGUYUUGACGUUACCGACAGAAUAAGCACCGGCUAACUUCGUGCCAGCAGCCGMGGUAAWYA
rnacentral:rRNA from 1 species